rnacentral:tRNA from 1 species
GUGUUGGUGGUUCAGUGGUAGGAUUCUUGCCUUCCAUGCUGGAGACCGGGGUUCAAUUCCCAGCCAAUGCA